CCUACGUGGGGCAGCAGUGGGGAAUAUUGGACAAUGGGCGAAAGCCUGAUCCAGCCAUGCCGCGUGAGUGAAGAAGGCCUUCGGGUUGUAAAGCACUUUCAGUGGGGAAGAAAGCCUUGGGGCUAAUACCCUCGAGGAAGGACAUCACCCACAGAAGAAGCACCGGCUAACUCCGUGCCAGCAGCCGCGGUAAUACGGAGGGUGCGAGCGUUAAUCGGAAUUACUGGGCGUAAAGCGCGCGUAGGCGGUCUGAUAAGCCGGUUGUGAAAGCCCCGGGCUCAACCUGGGAACGGCAUCCGGAACGGUCAGGCUAGAGUGCAGGAGAGGAAGGUAGAAUUCCCGGUGUAGCGGUGAAAUGCGUAGAGAUCGGGAGGAAUACCAGUGGCGAAGGCGGCCUUCUGGACUGACACUGACGCUGAGGUGCGAAAGCGUGGGUAGCAAACAGGAUUAGAUACCCGAGUAGUC
rnacentral:rRNA from 1 species